rnacentral:rRNA from 1 species
UAAUACGUAGGAGGCAAGCGUUAUCCGGAUUUAUUGGGCGUAAAGCGCGUGUAGGCGGCUCUUCAAGUCGGAUGUAAAAUUUCCCAGCUCAACUGGGAGGGACCAUUCGAUACUGCUAGGCUAGAGUUCAGCAGAGGGAGGUGGAAUUCCCGGUGUAGUGGUGAAAUGCGUAGAUAUCGGGAGGAACACCAGUGGCGAAGGCGACCUCCUAGGCUGCAACUGACGCUGAGACGCGAAAGCGUGGGGAGCGAACAGGAUUAGAUACCCUGGUAGUCCACGCUGUAAACUAUGGACACUAGGUAUGGGGAGUAUCGACCCUCUCCGUGCCGUAGCUAACGCAUUAAGUGUCCCGCCUGGGGACUACGGCCGCAAGGCUA